rnacentral:rRNA from 1 species
UACGAACUGUGCGAACGUUAUUCGGAAUCACUGGGCUUACAGGGUGCGUAGGCUGCGAUGCAAGUCAGGUGUGAAAGCCCCCGGCUCAACCGGGGAAUGGCGCUUGAAACUGCAUUGCUUGAGUGAGCUAGAGGUACACGGAACUUCCGGUGGAGCGGUGAAAUGUGUUGAUAUCGGAAGGAACACCAGAGGCGAAGGCGGUGUACUGGAGCUUGUCUGACGCUGAGGCACGAAAGCCAGGGGAGCAAACGGG